UACUACGGGAGGCAGCAGUAGGGAAUCUUCCGCAAUGGACGAAAGUCUGACGGAGCAACGCCGCGUGAGUGAUGAAGGCUUUCGGGUCGUAAAACUCUGUUGUUAGGGAAGAACAAGUGCUAGUUGAAUAAGCUGGCACCUUGACGGUACCUAACCAGAAAGCCACGGCUAACUACGUGCCAGCAGCCGCGGUAAUACGUAGGUGGCAAGCGUUAUCCGGAAUUAUUGGGCGUAAAGCGCGCGCAGGUGGUUUCUUAAGUCUGAUGUGAAAGCCCACGGCUCAACCGUGGAGGGUCAUUGGAAACUGGGAGACUUGAGUGCAGAAGAGGAAAGUGGAAUUCCAUGUGUAGCGGUGAAAUGCGUAGAGAUAUGGAGGAACACCAGUGGCGAAGGCGACUUUCUGGUCUGUAACUGACACUGAGGCGCGAAAGCGUGGGGAGCAAACAGGAUUAGAUACCCUGGUAGUCCACGCCGUAAACGAUGAGUGCUAAGUGUUAAAGGGUUC
rnacentral:rRNA from 1 species